rnacentral:rRNA from 1 species
UACGGAGGGGGCUAGCGUUGUUCGGAAUUACUGGGCGUAAAGCGCGCGUAGGCGGACCUGCAAGUCGGGGGUGAAAGCCCGAGGCUCAACCUCGGAACUGCCUUCGAUACUGCGGGUCUCGAGUCCGGGAGAGGUGAGUGGAAUUCCAGGUGUAGCGGUGAAAUGCGUAGAUAUCUGGAGGAACACCGGUGGCGAAGGCGGCAUCCUGGACCGGUAUUGACGCUGAGGCGCGAAAGCCAGGGGAGCAAACGGG